UGGGGAAUUUUGGACAAUGGGCGCAAGCCUGAUCCAGCCAUGCCGCGUGUCUGAAGAAGGCCUUCGGGUUGUAAAGGACUUUUGUUAGGGAAGAAAAAGGAGCGGUUAAUACCCGUUUCUGCUGACGGUACCUAAAGAAUAAGCACCGGCUAACUACGUGCCAGCAGCCGCGGUAAUACGUAGGGUGCGAGCGUUAAUCGGAAUUACUGGGCGUAAAGCGAGCGCAGACGGUUACUUAAGCAGGAUGUGAAAUCCCCGGGCUCAACCUGGGAACUGCGUUCUGAACUGGGUAGCUAGAGUAUGUCAGAGGGGGGUAGAAUUCCACGUGUAGCAGUGAAAUGCGUAGAGAUGUGGAGGAAUACCGAUGGCGAAGGCAGCCCCCUGGGAUAAUACUGACGUUCAUGCUCGAAAGCGUGGGUAGCAAACAGGAUUAGAUACCCUGGUAGUCCACGCCCUAAACGAUGUCGAUUAGCUGUUGGGCAGCUUGACUGCUUAGUAGCGUAGCUAACGCGUGAAAUCGACCGCCUGGGGAGUACGGUCGCAAGAUUA
rnacentral:rRNA from 1 species